CUCAGGUUCUUGCACAGAACCCCCGGCCCAGCUCCUGGAGCCAAAGGACACUAGUUACUGCUCCCCAGUGUCAACACUAGUGCUCACCGUGGUCACUCGCCAGUGUCACCAUCAGUGCUCACCGUGGUCACUCGCAGAAAGGAGCCCUCAAGAUGCCUGUUGAAAUCAGUGCUCCAAGUCCAGGGGAAAUCCUGGGAUAGACGAGGAGAUGAAUUCAGUUCAAUCGAGCGUUUGCUUCAUGAGCAUUGACCAUGUACCCAGGACUCCUUGAGAAUCUGGGAGAGUUGAGAUCCCAGAGCGGCCCUCACCCUGACGGGCGCCCUGCGCCAGGUGGUGGGAACCAGGCUGUAGAGCGGGCGCUGCGCCCAGCCGGCUGGGCCUUGGACAGGAAGCGCGAGGUCGGGCCGUGCACAGCCUCUCCCGCUCGGCACGGCGGAGCGCAGAGAGCGCUCGCAGGGCCUGAGCUGGAGCUGGCGACCGAGCCCAGGUCCACGGCGACUCCUCUGCCUUGAACGGCCCCGCCGGCGAGAGGUCUGGGGCAGGCGGCCUGAUCCACGCCCGUCUGCGCCGCGUCCGUGUGCACGAGAGGGGCCCACUCGUACACGUAACCGCACAAGUCUGCACAAAAUGCCUCCCACCGUGGAGCAGACCUUGUUUUUGUCUGGGAUCCGUAAUUUUGCAUCUGAACAUGGCGCCGGGGCCGCUGAGGGAGAGCGCCUCCCGGCGACCAGGUGUGCUCGGGGCUGUGGAUACCCUGGCCGAACCCCGGGUUCAUCACACAGCCUCCGGCGUUCCCAACCGUUAACGAGGAAAUCGAUAUUCCUAACUUGCCAACGACAGCUUGAUCCCAGACCUCACCCCACCCCCAUGCGGCCAGGCACCCCGGCAUCGCUGAGCUCGGACUCCCCACCCCCAGCCCCACCGGCCCCACGCACAGCCUCUCCUGAACGCACUGCCUUUCUGCGGGCAUUUCCGGAACUCUCGUCCUCUCUCCUAUCCCGUCCCCCAGUUGCUUUGGCAAACUGAGCUCCAUGGCUCCCAGCAGGGGGGAGGGGUUGGACACCUCACAGCGGGCUCUGGCGCCCAGACUUGUGUUAGUGGUGACCCCCGUGCCCAUGCCAGCGUGCACUCUGGCUCACCAAAGCACUUUCCCGGCUGUUGUCCAAUGUGAGGCUCACGGCAACCCCGGAACAGGCAUUUUACCCUUGUUUUUGGCAAGGAGGCCUAGCGGAGGGGCUGGGAAAUGGCUGCCUGGCAGCAGGUAUGGUGCCAGGGACGGGGUGGGCAUCCCGCCUCUUGGCUUCCAGCCUGGACCCCGUGUCCCUGGGAUCUUCAGGAGCGCCCUUGGGAGCAGUCCUGGCAUGGACCGCCUACCCUAGACAUGAGCAAUUGGACACUCCUCCGACCCCCGAGGCUGGUUCCAGGAGGAGCCUGGGACGUCCAAGCGGGCGCUGGGGGCGGGCCCCGGGGAGGGCGAUCCGAGCCGCCCUGCUCGUCACCCACCUCCCUGCUGCUGGCCGAGGCCGGCCUUCCCUCUGCCGAGGACUCCGGAUCCUGAGCCUUCCUGAUUGAUUCCUUAAAUAGUAAUGCAACCGAAGAUAUUAAUGUGCUUCCCCACAGAGUGCACACUCCCAGGCAUGACUUGCUAUUAGGAACAUGGAGGCUGUUGUGCAGUUUUUCCUUUCCCUUCACGGCCUCAGGGACAAAAUGCAGAGGACAAGGCCUGGCGCCCGAGCGGGCACUUAAUUAAAAUAUUUGUGGCGUGCUUAAUUAAUUAAUUAAUCAUAUUGCUGUGCAAAUUCAAGGAACAGCGACGCGGCUUGUGUGAUGUCUGAUGAGACUGAUACGGGUCCUACUUUCCCCGUAGGAGCUCGCUUUGGGGUGGCUAAUUGGAGCAGGAGAGGUAGGUCAGUGGAACAGUAUUUUGGGACGGCCGCUGGGAACGCUUUUCUUGUUGCUUCUCCUUACUGUGUAGUUCAAGUGGACUGGCGUGUUAUUUAAAAACCUACGAAGAAUGCCCGAGCGGAUGCAAAGAAGUGGAGAAACUACGCACACGAACAGAGAUAGGCUGGGAGCGGCCGAGGGGCCUCUGGCGGGUCUGGACACCGGUCAGAGGGGAUGAGCGGCCUCCGGGCGGGCCGUGCGGGCCGUGCGGGGUCCUGACCAGAGGUGUGCGGCACAGGAAGCGAUGCUGGAGGAAGGCCACCCCGUCCGAGGAGGUGCGUCCGCCCCUAAGAAGUCCAGCUGGCCGAGCAGGUCAGGGAGCCCAAGUCCUGGCCCGUGGGUGUGAAGCGGGGCCUGCGAGCCCUCAGGGGCGUGCUGGGGGCCGGCGUGGAAGGGCCCCAACGUCCAAGAGGGGUCGGCUGGCAGGCGGCAGGAUUUCCUCGUAGUCAGGAUUCACCCAAUGCCUUCCUGAUGGAAGGAGCAGGUCUGAGAGCCACUGCAGUGUGCGUGAGCAGUUCCCUCGAGUCCUGUGCCUUGGUGUGUGGCUCCGUGAGAGCACCUUGCAGCGCGCCUCCGAGCUGACCGCUUUCCGGAGUGACUGAUGGCCCCAAGGAGAGCCUCCCUGAAGAGACCACCAUUGUCUUCAAAGACCUUCUUGCCAAAAGGCCUGUUGUGGAUCAGAAAUUAGACAUUGUGAUCGUUAGAAACAUCUGUCCUAUAUUUCCGCAUAUUUUAAUUAACUGUGGAAUUUCUCAUGAAAAUAUUACAAUGAAAAUAACUACUCGUGCCUCCCACGUGUCCCCGGCCAAACUGAGCUCUGCCUUCGAGGCAGGAGGAUAAUCAACCACAAGGACAUUCACAGAAGUGGCCCCGGCCGUGGGCGUGAUCGUGGCCGACUCUGGGAAUGCUUCUCUACUUCUGGUUAGAAAAGCCAGCGUUCGGGUUUGGGGCUAAUGGAGCAAGAUGAUGCAUGGCAUCCCGAGGUGGACCUGAAGGCCGCACUUCCCACUGCGUGUUCAGGCAGCGGAACUGCGGGGCCCUGGCCCGCGCGGCCGCCACAGCCGCCCCCCGCUGCCCUUUGUGUCCCGACAGUGUCUGUGCUGCUUACGGGGCAAUAAAAAUGGUGUGCUAGGAACAGUUCCCGUGACGGAUCCUUCUCCUGAUGCCUUCUGACAUCUCUGCGGCUGGGCGCGUCACCGGCCUUGCUGAAGGCUCCCUAAGCAACGCGACCAGGCCAAUCAAGCAAUGAAGUGACCGUGUGAUUGCCUGACCCCCGUGGCCCUACCGACUCCGUGUUCCUCGGGGGCUCCAGACACGCUAGACUGGUUUGCGGGGCUCCUGGCUCCAGCGGGUCCAUGCAGACGCGACGUCCACGCUGGGCCGGCUCCCUGGACCGUCCCAGACUCUCCUUCCUCAUUUCUCUGUUCAGGAGCCUUGUCCCAGGGCCGUGGCGGCAGAGGGCCGGGAGAGGAGCCCCCCUCAGGGAGGAAGUCUUGAGUUCCGUCACGCACAGCUCCCGUCGCUGAGACGUGUGCGGGAUGUGAUCAGAGACGUGUGCGUCUAUCCUGGGCGCCCAUUGCUCUUCUGCACGUCUGCUUCCGCGUCUCCCCUCUUUUGAUGAAUGACGUGUGCCCACUCGUCAGGGCUGCAUGCCUGUGGGGACCCUGGCACCUCCUCCAAAGUCCUCAGCCUUCCCUGUUUCCUUCUCAAUGCCACACACUCACACUCUGGGUGUUUCCUCGGACAAGGCUGACGCGUACUCUGAAUUAUCUCUCUGGACAUCGUCAUCCGGAAAAUGCCAACCGAAGUCACAUGGCAAUAGCACCGUGUACCUGUUAGGAUGGCAGUCACGAAAGGAAUAAUGGCAAGUGUUGGUGAGGAACUGGACAUAAGAAACCCUUGUACGCCUUCAGUAGGAGUGCGAUUUGGUGUAGACAUUACAGAAAACAAGAUGGAGGUUCCCCCCGAACUAGAAACCGCACUACCGUGUACGGCAGCAGUCACGCCUCCGGGUGUAGACUCAAUGCAAAUGAAAUCAGUGCCUCAGAGAGGUGUCUGCACCCUUGUGUUCACCGCAGCUGAGACAUGGAAACAACCCAGAUGUCCAUCAAUGAACGAGUGGGUAAGGACUGUGACACACACACACACACACACACACACACACACACACACACACACACUCUCUGAAUAUUGUUUGGCUUCAGAAAAGGAGAGUCUGCCAUUGUGGCCACGUGCAUGAACCUGCAGACCUUCCGGCUUUGUAAAACAAGCCGGACCCAGAAAGAAAAAGCCCUGUGUGAUCUCACUCAUUCUAGAAUUUUAAAAAACGGAACCAUAAAAACAGAGUGGAAUGGUGGUUUCCAGGGUCCCCUGGAGGCUCGGGGGGUGGGGAGAUGUUGGUCACAGGGCACAGAGUGGCAUUUACAUAGCUGAGUGAGUGUGGAGGCCCAGCGUGCAGCCUGGGCCCCCGGCGUGAACCCUGGACUUGCUGACGCAGCACGUGCAGGCACCCCCCACGCGCACACAGAAGUCAACCCGUAAAAAUACUAAAAAGGAACGUGGACCGGCAUGGAAUCCUGCCAUCCGUACCCUCCUCCAGAGUGAUGAGGUCUGUGCACCUGUUCAACGGCGUGGCAGGCGCCUCGUAGGAGCACUUGUCCAUCACGCCCUUGGCUUCAGUGUCGCCUCUUUAGACUCGAUGCUUCCCCUGGGACACAGGUCGGUCCCUCGUUGCCUCCCGGGGACAGUGGGCUCAGCGUUCAGCUGUGUGCUGGUCCUGCUUCUACUGCUGACAGAUCCGCCUCCGUGGCGGCCACCAUCUCUCUGGACUCCCACACCACUGUGCACGGGAGGACCACCGGUGAGCCUGCAGACCCCACUCGGACCCCUAGCACGCCGGAGGCCACACGUCCUGCCCUGGCUGUCGAGUAGUCACGGUGCAGGAGGGAGGGAGCAGUAAGCUGGCGAGAGCCGCCAAGAACCAGCCCAGGCCCGACAGGAGGCUCGGGGAACGUCAGAGGCCACAGCAGUGACAGGACCGACACCACCACCACAAGCCCUGAAUUGGGAGCUAGAGACGCAGGUCGUGGGUCCUUCUGGACCGGGUCACGUAGAGCUUUCCUCCUGGUGGGAAACCGGCCGAAGCGCACCUUCUCUCCAGGGUUAGUCGAGGUCCAGUGAGGGGGUGUGGUGGCUAAGAGCGCUCGGAUGGAUGCACGGGGCCGGUCCAUUCCGCAGGACGUCCGUCCUCCAUUGGAAAAUCAUCAGAGCAAAGAGAGCUUUCCUUACCCUUGGAUUCAGGGCCGUCAGAAGCCUCUGACUGAACGGAAGCCCUUCCAGCAGCGACAUAGAUAGCAUGCCUUUGGAGUCUCGUCUCUCUGGGCCCGUGUCUUCAUGUGAAACCUCGACGGGGGCGCCCAACGGGCAGGGCCUGCGGGAUGGAAACAGCAGGAAGUGUCCCCGCCGGAACUUACAGGCUGAAGCAAGUCUGCUGUGCACACAGAAGGCCUUUGAGUCCCUGCCUGGCCUUUGGCUGUUCCUCCUGGGACAGAGACAGACGCUCGCUCCCCGGUGUGCGUGUGCAGGCCUCUGUCAGCGGUGGCACGUUCACACACCCCAGCCAUUCCAGGAGACAGUUAACUUGUGUGUUUUAAUAAAGACGUGCGUGUUCAGACUUGCUCUGCCCGCGCUCCCAUGUGGAGCCGGCAGCGGGGACCCAGCCCGGAAGGCUGCACGUGGGCAUUUUCGCUCCUCA